rnacentral:rRNA from 1 species
UACGUAGGGGCUAGCGUUAUCCGGAUUUACUGGGCGUAAAGGGUGCGUAGGUGGUUUCUUAAGUCAGAGGUGAAAGGCUACGGCUCAACCGUAGUAAGCCUUUGAAACUGGGGAACUUGAGUGCAGGAGAGGAGAGUGGAAUUCCUAGUGUAGCGGUGAAAUGCGUAGAUAUUAGGAGGAACACCAGUUGCGAAGGCGGCUCUCUGGACUGUAACUGACACUGAGGCACGAAAGCGUGGGGAGCAAACAGGAUUAGAUACCCGGGUAGUCCCUGAGCGGG